rnacentral:rRNA from 1 species
GUGGGGAAUUUUGGACAAUGGGCGCAAGCCGGAUCCAGCCAUGCCGCGUGCAGGAAGAAGCAUCUAUGGUGUGUAAACUGCUUUUGUACGGGAAGAAACACUCCUUCGUGAAGGAGCUUGACGGUACCGUAAGAAUAAGGAUCGGCUAACUCCGUGCCAGCAGCCGCGGUAAUACGGAGGAUCCAAGCGUUAUCCGGAAUCAUUGGGUUUAAAGGGUCCGUAGGCGGUUUGGUAAGUCAGUGGUGAAAGCCCGCAGCUCAACUGUGGAACGGCCAUUGAUACUGCCAGACUUGAAUUACAAGGAAGUAACUAGAAUAUGUAGUGUAGCGGUGAAAUGCUUAGAUAUUACAUGGAAUACCAAUUGCGAAGGCAGGUUACUACUUGUGGAUUGACGCUGAUGGACGAAAGCGUGGGGAGCGAACAGGAUUAGAAACCCUAGUAGUCC